rnacentral:rRNA from 1 species
UGGGGAAUAUUGGACAAUGGGCGAAAGCCUGAUCCAGCCAUGCCGCGUGUGUGAAGAAGGUCUUCGGAUUGUAAAGCACUUUAAGUUGGGAGGAAGGGCAGUAAGCGAAUACCUUGCUGUUUUGACGUUACCGACAGAAUAAGCACCGGCUAACUCUGUGCCAGCAGCCGCGGUAAUACAGAGGGUGCAAGCGUUAAUCGGAAUUACUGGGCGUAAAGCGCGCGUAGGUGGUUCGUUAAGUCGAAUGUGAAAGCCCCGGGCUCAACCUGGGAACUGCAUCCAAAACUGGCGAGCUAGAGUAGGGCAGAGGGUGGUGGAAUUUCCUGUGUAGCGGUGAAAUGCGUAGAUAUAGGAAGGAACACCAGUGGCGAAGGCGACCACCUGGGCUCAUACUGACACUGAGGUGCGAAAGCGUGGGGAGCAAACAGG